rnacentral:rRNA from 1 species
AUUCCAGCUCCAAUAGCGUAUAUUAAAGUUGUUGCAGUUAAAAAGCUCGUAGUUGGAUUUCUGACAGGGGGCCGAACACCACUGUAGUGAGUGUUUUGGUACCUGUCAUCCUUCUGUUAACCCUAGCGUCAUUCAUUUGUCGUUGGGCGGACCAGAUACUUUACCUUGAGAAAAUUAGAGUGUUUCAGGCAGGCCUAGCCGGAAUACAUUAGCAUGGAAUAAUGGAAUAGGACUAUAGUCUCGUCGUUGGUUACGUGGACUGCAGUAAUGAUUAAUAGGGAUAGUUGGGGGCAUUAGUAUUUAACUAUCAGAGGUGAAAUUCUUGGACUUGUUAAAGACGGACUACUGCGAAAGCAUUUGCCAAGGAUGUUUUCAUUA